rnacentral:misc_RNA from 1 species
GAAAUGCGAUAAGUAAUGUGAAUUGCAGAAUUCAGUGAAUCAUCGAAUCUUUGAACGCACAUUGCGCCUAUUAGUAUUCUAGUAGGCAUGCCUGUUCGAGCGUCAUUUCAACCCUCAGAACCCCUUGCGGGAUCUGGCGUUGGGGAUUGGCAUCCAGCCAGCCCCGAAAUCUAGUGGCGGUCCCUCCGCGACCUCCCCUGUGCAGUAGCGAUACCUCGCAGCGGGACAGCGGUCUGACCACGCUGUAAAACCCCCAACUUCUCAAGGUUGACCUCGAAUCAGGUAGGAAUACCCGCUGAACUUAAGC